GACGAACGCUGGCGGCGUGGAUUAGGCAUGCAAGUCGAACGGUGAAGCAGAGCUUGCUCUGUGGAUCAGUGGCGAACGGGUGAGUAACACGUGAGCAAUCUGCCCUUGACUCUGGGAUAAGCGCUGGAAACGGCGUCUAAUACUGGAUACGAGCUGCGAAGGCAUCUUCAGCAGCUGGAAAGAACUUCGGUCAAGGAUGAGCUCGCGGCCUAUCAGCUUGUUGGUGAGGUAAUGGCUCACCAAGGCGUCGACGGGUAGCCGGCCUGAGAGGGUGACCGGCCACACUGGGACUGAGACACGGCCCAGACUCCUACGGGUGGCAG
rnacentral:rRNA from 1 species